GGGCCUAUAACUCAGUUGGUAGAGUCGCCGGCUCAUAACCGGUCAGUCCCUGGUUCGAGUCCAGGUGGGCCCA
rnacentral:tRNA from 1 species